rnacentral:rRNA from 1 species
CCGGGACCGGACAGUAACUACCACGACCUGCGGAGGGUCAUUACACAAAUAUGAAGGCGGGCUGGAACCUCUCGGGGUUACAGCCUUGCUGAAUUAUUCACCCUUGUCUUUUGCGUACUUCUUGUUUCCUUGGUGGGUUCGCCCACCACUAGGACAAACAUAAACCUUUUGUAAUUGCAAUCAGCGUCAGUAACAAAUUAAUAAUUACAACUUUCAACAACGGAUCUCUUGGUUCUGGCAUCGAUGAAGAACGCAGCGAAAUGCGAUAAGUAGUGUGAAUUGCAGAAUUCAGUGAAUCAUCGAAUCUUUGAACGCACAUUGCGCCCUUUGGUAUUCCAAAGGGCAUGCCUGUUCGAGCGUCAUUUGUACCCUCAAGCUUUGCUUGGUGUUGGGCGUCUUGUCUCUAGCUUUGCUGGAGACUCGCCUUAAAGUAAUUGGCAGCCGGCCUACUGGUUUCGGAGCGCAGCACAAGUCGCACUCUCUAUCAGCAAAGGUCUAGCAUCCAUUAAGCCUUUUUUUCAACUUUUGACCUCGGAUCAGGUAGGGAUACCCGCUG